rnacentral:rRNA from 1 species
GACGAACGCUGGCGGCGUGCCUAACACAUGCAAGUCGAGCGGAGGCAGCGGAAGAGCAAUCUGAGGCUGUCUGAGCGGCGGACGGGUGAGUAACGCGUGAGCAACCUGCCUUCCACAGGGGGAUAACGUACCGAAAGGUACACUAAUACCGCAUGAGACCACGGUACCGAUGGUACAGGGGGUCAAAGGAGGAAUCCGGUGGGAGAUGGGCUCGCGUCCGAUUAGGUAGUUGGCGGGGUAAUGGCCCACCAAGCCUAUGAUCGGUAGCCGGCCUGAGAGGGUGAACGGCCACAUUGGAACUGAGAGACGGUCCAAACUCCUACGGGAGGCAGCAGUGGGGAAUAUUGCACAAUGGGGGAAACCCUGAUGCAGCGAUGCCGCGUGGAGGAAGAAGGUUUUCGGAUUGUAAACUCCUGUCUUCAGGGACGAUAAUGACGGUACCUGAGGAGGAAGCACCGGCUAACUACGUG